UACGUAGGGUGCGAGCGUUAAUCGGAAUUACUGGGCGUAAAGCGUGCGCAGGCGGUUCGUUGUGUCGGUGGUGAAAUCCCCGGGCUUAACCUGGGAAAGGCCAUGGAAACUGGCGAACUGGAGUGCGGCAGAGGGGGGUGGAAUUCCGCGUGUAGCAGUGAAAUGCGUAGAGAUGCGGAGGAACACCGAUGGCGAAGGCAGCCCCCUGGGCUAGCACUGACGCUCAGGCACGAAAGCGUGGGGAGCAAACAGG
rnacentral:rRNA from 1 species